rnacentral:rRNA from 1 species
UGAGGAAUUUUGCGCAAUGGGAGCAAUCCUGACGCAGCAACGCCGCGUGGGUGAUGAAGGCCUUCGGGUCGUAAAGCCCUGUCAGGUGGGAAGAAUGUCCCGGGACUGAACAGGUUCCGGGAGUGACGGUACCACCAGCGGCAGCACCGGCUAACUCCGUGCCAGCAGCCGCGGUAAUACGGAGGGUGCAAGCGUUAUUCGGAAUUACUGGUCGUAAAGCGCGUGUAGGCGGUACUGCAAGUCUGAUGUGAAAGCCCCGGGCUUAACCCGGGAAGGGCAGUGGAAACUGGGGGACGUGAGUACUGGAGAGGAGGGGGGAAUUCCCGGUGUAGAGGUGAAAUUCGUAGAGAUCGGGAGGAAUAUCAGUGGCGAAGGCGCCCAUCUGGACGGUAACUGACGCUGAGACGCGAAAGCGUGGGGAGCAAACA